UACGUAGGGGGCAAGCGUUGUCCGGAAUCAUUGGGCGUAAAGAGCGUGUAGGCGGCCCGGUAAGUCUGUUGUGAAAGUCCAGGGCUCAACCCUGGAAUGCCGAUGGAUACUGCCGGGCUAGAGUUCGGAAGAGGCGAGUGGAAUUCCUGGUGUAGUGGUGGAAUGCGCAGAUAUCAGGAGGAACACCUAUAGCGAAGGCAGCUCGCUGGGACGACACUGACGCUGAGACGCGAAAGCGUGGGGAGCAAACAGG
rnacentral:rRNA from 1 species